GACGAACGCUGGCGGCGUGCUUAACACAUGCAAGUCGAACGAAGAGCGAUGGACGCUUGCUUCUAUCAAUCUUAGUGGCGAACGGGUGAGUAACGCGUAAUCAACCUGCCCUUCAGAGGGGGACAACAGUUGGAAACGACUGCUAAUACCGCAUACGAUCUAAUCUCGGCAUCGAGGAUAGAUGAAAGGUGGCCUCUACAUGUAAGCUCUCACUGAAGGAGGGGAUUGCGUCUGAUUAGCUAGUUGGAGGGGUAACGGCCCACCAAGGCGAUGAUCAGUAGCCGGUCUGAGAGGAUGAACGGCCACAUUGGGACUGAGACACGGCCCAGACUCCUACGGGAGGCAGCAGUGGGGAAUCUUCCGCAAUGGACGAAAGUCUGACGGAGCAACGCCGCGGGAGUGAUGACGGCCGUCGGGUUGUAAAGCUCUGUUAAUCGGGACGAAAGGCCUUCUUGCGAAUAGUGAGAAGGAUUGACGGUACCGGAAUAGAAAGCCACGGCUAACUACGUG
rnacentral:rRNA from 1 species